CAACUCCUCCUUGUCUAAUAUUAAAUGCUUGCCCUAACAACACUUAUUGUGCAGAGAAACCUGAUGGCACUAUAUCAUGUAUAGCAUGUGAUGUGUCUUGUGAGCUUGGCUGUGAUGGACCUGGUCCAGAAUUCUGUAAAAGUUGUAAAGCAGGCUACUAUAAGCCUUCCACUAAUUUUCAUGUAUGCACAGAAUGUGAUGUUGGUUUCUAUGGAGUGAACUGUUCUAAACAAUGUCGUUGUCUGAACAAUGAACUUUGCAAUAAAACUGAUGGAUUCUGUAAUGGUUGGAAGUGUGACAGAGGCUAUACUGGGCUGCCCUACUGCCAGGACAAGUGCCCAGUAAACACAUUUGGACUUGAUUGUGGGUUUGUGUGCCACUGUCCAGUCAAUGACAAUUGUAGUAAUGUGCAGGGGGACUGUAGCAGUGGAAAGUGUGGCGCUGACUGGGAUGGACCUGGCUGUCAAAGAAGAGUGCCUAAGUUAGUGUUGCCACCAAGACUACAGUCAGCCACAUGUAACAACAUAACUAUAUAUUGGGAUGUUUUUAAUAAGUCAGUUGAUAUUGGAUUAGGCCCUAUCAAACAAUA
rnacentral:sRNA from 1 species